UCAAGUGAAGAAGCGCAUACGGUGGAUGCCUUGGCAGUCAGAGGCGAUGAAAGACGUGGUAGCCUGCGAAAAGCUUCGGGGAGUCGGCAAACAGACUGUGAUCCGGAGAUGUCUGAAUGGGGGAACCCAGCCAUCAUAAGAUGGUUAUCUUGUACUGAAUACAUAGGUGCAAGAGGCGAACCAGGGGAACUGAAACAUCUAAGUACCCUGAGGAAAAGAAAUCAACCGAGAUUCCCUUAGUAGUGGCGAGCGAACGGGGACCAGCCCUUAAGUUGUAUUGAGAUUAGCGGAACGUUCUGGAAAGGACGGCCAUAGUGGGUGAUAGCCCUGUACGCGAAAAUCCCUUUGCAAUGAAAUCGAGUAGGACGGGGCACGAGAAACCUUGUCUGAAUAUGGGGGGACCAUCCUCCAAGGCUAAAUACUACUGACUGACCGAUAGUGAACCAGUACCGUGAGGGAAAGGCGAAAAGAACCGCGGAGAGCGGAGUGAAAUAGAUCCUGAAACCGUAUGCGUACAAGCAGUGGGAGCCCACUUUGUUGGGUGACUGCGUACCUUUUGUAUAAUGGGUCAGCGACUUAUUUUCAGUGGCGAGCUUAACCGAAUAGGGGAGGCGUAGCGAAAGCGAGUCUUAAUAGGGCGUCUAGUCGCUGGGAAUAGACCCGAAACCGGGCGAUCUAUCCAUGGGCAGGUUGAAGGUUGGGUAACACUAACUGGAGGACCGAACCGACUACCGUUGAAAAGUUAGCGGAUGACCUGUGGAUCGGAGUGAAAGGCUAAUCAAGCUCGGAGAUAGCUGGUUCUCCUCGAAAGCUAUUUAGGUAGCGCCUCAUGUAUCACUGUAGGGGGUAGAGCACUGUUUCGGCUAGGGGGUCAUCCCGACUUACCAAACCGAUGCAAACUCCGAAUACCUACAAGUGCCGAGCAUGGGAGACACACGGCGGGUGCUAACGUCCGUCGUGAAAAGGGAAACAACCCAGACCGUCAGCUAAGGUCCCAAAGUCAUGGUUAAGUGGGAAACGAUGUGGGAAGGCUUAGACAGCUAGGAGGUUGGCUUAGAAGCAGCCACCCUUUAAAGAAAGCGUAAUAGCUCACUAGUCGAGUCGGCCUGCGCGGAAGAUGUAACGGGGCUCAAACCAUGCACCGAAGCUACGGGUAUCAUCUUUUGAUGAUGCGGUAGAGGAGCGUUCUGUAAGCCUGUGAAGGUGAGUUGAGAAGCUUGCUGGAGGUAUCAGAAGUGCGAAUGCUGACAUGAGUAACGACAAUGGGUGUGAAAAACACCCACGCCGAAAGACCAAGGUUUCCUGCGCAACGUUAAUCGACGCAGGGUUAGUCGGUCCCUAAGGCGAGGCUGAAAAGCGUAGUCGAUGGAAAACAGGUUAAUAUUCCUGUACUUCUGGUUAUUGCGAUGGAGGGACGGAGAAGGCUAGGCCAGCCUGGCGUUGGUAGUCCAGGUUUAAGGUGGUAGGCUGAGAUCUUAGGUAAAUCCGGGAUCUUAAGGCCGAGAGCUGAUGACGAGUGUUCUUUUAGAACACGAAGUGGUUGAUGCCAUGCUUCCAAGAAAAGCUUCUAAGCUUCAGGUAACCAGGAACCGUACCCCAAACCGACACAGGUGGUUGGGUAGAGAAUACCAAGGCGCUUGAGAGAACUCGGGUGAAGGAACUAGGCAAAAUGGCACCGUAACUUCGGGAGAAGGUGCGCCGGUGAGGGUGAAGCAUUUACUGCGUAAGCCCAUGCCGGUCGAAGAUACCAGGCCGCUGCGACUGUUUAUUAAAAACACAGCACUCUGCAAACACGAAAGUGGACGUAUAGGGUGUGACGCCUGCCCGGUGCCGGAAGGUUAAUUGAUGGGGUUAGCGCAAGCGAAGCUCUUGAUCGAAGCCCCGGUAAACGGCGGCCGUAACUAUAACGGUCCUAAGGUAGCGAAAUUCCUUGUCGGGUAAGUUCCGACCUGCACGAAUGGCGUAACGAUGGCGGCGCUGUCUCCACCCGAGACUCAGUGAAAUUGAAAUCGCUGUGAAGAUGCAGUGUAUCCGCGGCUAGACGGAAAGACCCCGUGAACCUUUACUAUAGCUUUGCACUGGACUUUGAAUUUGCUUGUGUAGGAUAGGUGGGAGGCUUUGAAGCGUGGACGCCAGUCUGCGUGGAGCCAACCUUGAAAUACCACCCUGGCAACUUUGAGGUUCUAACUCAGGUCCGUUAUCCGGAUCGAGGACAGUGUAUGGUGGGUAGUUUGACUGGGGCGGUCUCCUCCUAAAGAGUAACGGAGGAGUACGAAGGUGCGCUCAGACCGGUCGGAAAUCGGUCGUAGAGUAUAAAGGCAAAAGCGCGCUUGACUGCGAGACAGACACGUCGAGCAGGUACGAAAGUAGGUCUUAGUGAUCCGGUGGUUCUGUAUGGAAGGGCCAUCGCUCAACGGAUAAAAGGUACUCCGGGGAUAACAGGCUGAUACCGCCCAAGAGUUCAUAUCGACGGCGGUGUUUGGCACCUCGAUGUCGGCUCAUCACAUCCUGGGGCUGAAGCCGGUCCCAAGGGUAUGGCUGUUCGCCAUUUAAAGUGGUACGCGAGCUGGGUUUAGAACGUCGUGAGACAGUUCGGUCCCUAUCUGCCGUGGACGUUUGAGAUUUGAGAGGGGCUGCUCCUAGUACGAGAGGACCGGAGUGGACGAACCUCUGGUGUUCCGGUUGUCACGCCAGUGGCAUUGCCGGGUAGCUAUGUUCGGAAAAGAUAACCGCUGAAAGCAUCUAAGCGGGAAACUUGCCUCAAGAUGAGAUCUCACUGGAACCUUGAGUUCCCUAAAGGGCCGUCGAAGACUACGACGUUGAUAGGUUGGGUGUGUAAGCGCUGUGAGGCGUUGAGCUAACCAAUACUAAUUGCCCGUGAGGCUUGACCAU
rnacentral:rRNA from 1 species